GUGAGUAACGCGUGGGUGACCUACCUUCGAGUGGGGGAUAACGUCCCGAAAGGGACGCUAAUACCGCAUGACAUCCUGUCCUUGAACGGAUGGAGAUCAAAGCCGGGGAUCGCAAGACCUGGCGCUUGAUGAGGGGCCCGCGUCUGAUUAGCUAGUUGGUGGGGUAAUGGCUCACCAAGGCGACGAUCAGUAUCCGGCCUGAGAGGGCGGACGGACACACUGGGACUGAGACACGGCCCAGACUCCUACGGGAGGCAGCAGUGGGGAAUUGUUCACAAUGGGCGCAAGCCUGAUGACGCAACGCCGCGUGGAGGAUGAAGGUCUUCGGAUUGUAAACUCCUGUUGCUCGGGAAGAAUAGCUCCAACCUAAUACGUUGGAGUCUGACGGUACCGGGUGAGGAAGCCCCGGCUAACUCUGUGCCAGCAGCCGCGGUAAUACAGAGGGGGCAAGCGUUGUUCGGAAUUACUGGGCGUAAAGGGCGCGUAGGCGGCCUGUUAAGUCGAACGUGAAAUCCCCGGGCUCAACCCGGGAACUGCGUCCGAUACUGGCAGGUUUGAAUCCGGGAGAGGGAUGUGGAAUUCCAGGUGUAGCGGUGAAAUGCGUAGAUAUCUGGAGGAACACCGGUGGCGAAUGCGGCAUCCUGGACCGGUA
rnacentral:rRNA from 1 species